rnacentral:rRNA from 11 species
AGUUUGGGAAUCAGUGCUCUAAAAGCACCAGAUCCCAUCUGAUUUUGGUAGUUAAGAAGGCUUAGUACCUGGAUUGAAGGCUGCCAAUGAAUACAAGGUGCUAUAGACAACGGCUUCUUAAACUU